GAUGAAGAACGUAGCGAAAUGCGAUAAGUAAUGCGAAUUGCAGAAUUCCGUGAGUCAUCGAAUCUUUGAACGCACAUUGCGCCCGUCAGUAUUCUGACGGGCAUGCCUGUCCGAGCGUCAUUUCAACCCUCAAGCACUGCUUGGCGUUGGCGGAUUGCGUGCCCUCGCGGCGCUGCAACCGCCCAAAUACAGUGGCGGUCCCGCUGCGGCUCCCUUUGCGUAGUAACUCACCUCGCACUGGACCGGGCGGCGGCCUGCCGUAAAACCCCAACUCACGAAAUGUUGACCUCGGAUCAGGUAGGAAUACCCGCUGAACUUAAGCAUAUCAAUAAGCGGAGGA
rnacentral:misc_RNA from 1 species